rnacentral:rRNA from 1 species
GACGAACGCUGGCGGCGUGCCUAACACAUGCAAGUCAGCUUGACUGAAGGAGCAAUCUGACAGUAGAGUGGCGCAAGGGUGCGUAACGCGUAAGUAACUUGCCCAAGGUAAGGAAUAACGUCGAGAAAUCGGCGCUAAUACCUCAUAAUGCAGCGGAUCCGCAUGGAUAUGUUGUUAAAGGUUUACCGCCUUGGGAUAGGCUUGCGUCUGAUUAGCUAGUUGGUGUGGUAACGGCACACCAAGGCUACGAUCAGUAACUGGUCUGAGAGGAUGAUCAGUCACACUGGAACUGAGACACGGUCCAGACUCCUACGGGAGGCAGCAGUGAGGAAUAUUGGGCAAUGCUCGAAAGAGUGACCCAGCAACGCCGCGUGGAGGAUGAAGGUAUUCUAUAUCGUAAACUCCUGUGAGAGCAGACGAAAGACAGAUUAUUAAUCUGGAUGACUGUAUGCUCAGAGGAAGCCCCGGCUAACUACG